rnacentral:rRNA from 1 species
AACGAACGCUGGCGGCAGGCCUAACACAUGCAAGUCGAGCGCUCACUUCGGUGGGAGCGGCGGACGGGUUAGUAACGCGUGGGAACGUGCCCUUCUCUACGGAAUAGCCAUUGGAAACGAUGAGUAAUACCGUAUACGCCCUUUGGGGGAAAGAUUUAUCGGAGAAGGAUCGGCCCGCGUUAGAUUAGAUAGUUGGUGGGGUAACGGCCUACCAAGUCUACGAUCUAUAGCUGGUUUUAGAGGAUGAUCAGCAACACUGGGACUGAGACACGGCCCAGACUCCUACGGGAGGCAGCAGUGGGGAAUCUUAGACAAUGGGCGCAAGCCUGAUCUAGCCAUGCCGCGUGUGUGAUGAAGGCCCUAGGGUCGUAAAGCACUUUCGCCAGGGAUGAUAAUGACAGUACCUGGUAAAGAAACCCCGGCUAACUCCGUGCCAGCCGCCGCCGGUAACAC